rnacentral:rRNA from 1 species
GACGAACGCUGGCGGCGUGCUUAACACAUGCAAGUCGAACGGACAGGCCCUGCUUUUGUUGGUUUCUCGAGUGGCGAACGGGUGUGUAACACGUGAGUAUCCUCCCCUUGACUUUGUGAUAACUUCAGGAAACUGCGGCUCUUACCGGAUAUGAGCUCCUGCUCCAUGGUGGUGGUUGGAAAGUUUCGGCGGUUGGGGAUGUACUCGAGGCUUAUCAGCUUGUUGGUGUGGUAGUGGCUUACCAAGGGUUUGACGGGUAGCCGGCAUGGGAGGGUUACCGGCCACAUUGGGACUGAGAGACGGACCAGAAGGGUAUGGGAGGCAGAAGUGGGGAAUAUUGCGGAAUGGGGGGAAGCGAGAGGCAGAAAUGCCGCGAGCGGGAUGACGGGCUUCGAGGGGUAAACAGAUUUGGAAGGUGAUGAAGAGUGAGUGACGGUAAUGGGUAAAGAAGCAACGGCUAACUACGUG